UCAGCCUGUUGUGGUGUGGUGUUGUGCUGUUGUGGUGUUGUGGUAGUGGGGUGUUGUGGUGGUGUGGUGGUGGGGUGUUGUGGUGGUGGGGUGUUGUGGUGGUGGGGUGUGUCCAUCAGCGACUGUAUCCUUCUGUCAGCCUGUUGUGGUGGUGGUGUGGUGUGGUAGUGGGGUGUUGUGGUGUUGUGGUGGUGGGGUGUUGUGGUGUUGUGGUGGUGGUGUGUUGUUGCGGUUUUGUAGUAUUGUGGUGA
rnacentral:lncRNA from 1 species